UGAUAGGCUACAGGUGUAAAGGCAGUGAUGUCAUAGCCGAGUAGUACUAAUUACCCGGAGAUUUC
rnacentral:rRNA from 3 species